rnacentral:rRNA from 1 species
UACGAAGGGUGCAAACGUUGCUCGGAAUUAUUGGGCGUAAAGCGCACGUAGGCGGCAUUGCAAGUCCCAUGUGAAAGCCCACGGCUUAACCGUGGAAGUGCAUGGGAAACUGCAGUGCUUGAGUACUUAAGAGGAUCGCGGAAUUCCCGGUGUAGAGGUGAAAUUCGUAGAUAUCGGGAGGAACACCAGUGGCGAGGGCGGCGAUCUGGGAAGAUACUGACGCUGAGGUGCGAAAGCGUGGGGAGCAAACAGG